UACGGAGGGUGCGAGCGUUGUUCGGAUUUAUUGGGCGUAAAGGGCGUGCAGGCGGUUUCUUAAGUCUGAUGUGAAAGCCCCGGGCUCACCCCGGGAAGUGCAUUGGAAACUGGGAGACUUGAGUACGGGAGAGGGCAGCGGAAUUCCUGGUGUAGGGGUGAAAUCCGCAGAUAUCAGGAAGAACACCGGUGGCGAAGGCGGCUGCCUGGACCGAUACUGACGCUGAGACGCGAAAGCGUGGGGAUCAAAC
rnacentral:rRNA from 1 species